rnacentral:rRNA from 1 species
UGGGGAAUAUUGCACAAUGGGCGCAAGCCUGAUGCAGCCAUGCCGCGUGUGUGAAGAAGGCCUUCGGGUUGUAAAGCACUUUCAGCGAGGAGGAAGGUGGUGAACUUAAUACGUUCAUCAAUUGACGUUACUCGCAGAAGAAGCACCGGCUAACUCCGUGCCAGCAGCCGCGGUAAUACGGAGGGUGCAAGCGUUAAUCGGAAUUACUGGGCGUAAAGCGCACGCAGGCGGUUUGUUAAGUCAGAUGUGAAAUCCCCGGGCUCAACCUGGGAACUGCAUUUGAAACUGGCAAGCUAGAGUCUCGUAGAGGGAGGGUAGAAUUCCAGGUGUAGCGGUGAAAUGCGUAGAGAUCUGGAGGAAUACCGGUGGCGAAGGCGGCCCCCCUGGACGAAGACUGACGCUCAGGUGCGAAAGCGGUGGGGCAGCAAAACAGGAUUAGAUACCCUGGUAGUCCAGCGCUGUAAACGAUGUCGAUUUGGAGGUUGUGCCCCUUGAGGCGUGGCUUCCGGAGCUAACGCGUUAAAUCGACCGCCUGGGGGAGUACGGCCGCAAGGUUAAAAACUCAAAGGAAUUGACGGGGUCU